rnacentral:rRNA from 1 species
AACGCUAGCUACAGGCUUAACACAUGCAAGUCGAGGGGCAGCAUUAACGAAAGCUUGCUUUUGUUAGAUGGCGACCGGCGCACGGGUGAGUAACGCGUAUCCAACCUGCCAUAUACAGAGGGAUAGCCUUGCGAAAGUAAGAUUAAUACCUCAUGGUUUAUGUUUGCCGCAUGGUGAGUAUAAUAAAGAUUUAUCGGUAUAUGAUGGGGAUGCGUCCCAUUAGAUAGUUGGCGGGGUAACGGCCCACCGAGUCGACGAUGGGUAGGGGCUCUGAGAGGAAGGUCCCCCACAUUGGAACUGAGACACGGUCCAAACUCCUACGGGAGGCAGCAGUGAGGAAUAUUGGUCAAUGGACGAGAGUCUGAACCAGCCAAGUAGCGUGCAGGAAGACGGCCCUAUGGGUUGUAAACUGCUUUAGUAUGGGAAUAAAGUCACCCACGUGUGGGUGUUUGCAUGUACCAUAAGAAUAAGGACCGGCUAAUUCCGUGCCAGCAGCCGCGGUAAUACGGAAGGUCCGGGCGUUAUCCGGAUUUAUUGGGUUUAAAGGGAGCGUAGGCGGACUUUUAAGUCAGUUGUGAAAGUUCACGGCCCAACCGUGAAAUUGCAGUUGAAACUGAGAGUCUUGAGUGCACGCAGGGAUGCUGGAAUUCGUGGUGUAGCGGUGAAAUGCAUAGAUAUCACGAAGAACUCCGAUUG